rnacentral:rRNA from 1 species
GUGGGGUAACGGCUCACCUAGGCGACGAUCCCUAGCUGGUCUGAGAGGAUGACCAGCCACACUGGAACUGAGACACGGUCCAGACUCCUACGGGAGGCAGCAGUGGGGAAUAUUGCACAAUGGGCGCAAGCCUGAUGCAGCCAUGCCGCGUGUAUGAAGAAAGCCUUCGGGUUGUAAAGUACUUUCAGCGAGGAGGAAGCAUUUAGGUUAAUAACCUUGGUGAUUGACGUUACUCGCAGAAAAACACCGGCUAACUCCGUGCCAGCAGCCGCGGUAAUACGGAAGGUGCAAGCGUUAAUCGGAAUUACUGGGCGUAAAACGCACGCAGGCGGUCUGUCAAGUCGGAUGUGAAAUCCCCCGGCUCAACCUGGGAUCUUCAUUC